UUAUAAAUUUUAUUAAUAUAUUUUAACGUAUAUUAUUUAUAUUUAAAUAGAAUUUAUGAAUUUUAGUAAUAAAUAUAUAAUUAACGUAUAUUUAUUUCAUUUUAAGUACGUUCUAAAUAUUUAACGAUUUUCUUGAACUUUAUUAUAUUUAUAUAUUUAAUGUAUAUUUAAUUUUAUUUAAAUAUAUUCUAAAUAUUUUAACGAUUUGUGCAAUCAAGAAUAAUUUUAGAAUUUUACGUUGAAAAGAAUUCGAAUUACGAAAACACGUUCGAUUGAAAUUAGAAACCAAUCCUAACCCUUUUGGAUUCAAACAACCUAAAUCCUAAUUGUAGCCCAAUUGGGUGAAGCCCAAAUGAUAAAGCCCAUAACUCUUUACUCCCUCUUUCAAUUGCAAGUAAAAACAAAAAAACAAAAAAAAACAAAAAAAAAAAAUAAAACCCUCUUCUCUCCUACUCCAUUCACGUGAAAUCAAACACCAAAACCCUUCCCUCCUUCACGUAACUCUCUCCUCCCCUUUGCUGUUCAGCCGCCACCCUGAACCCUCGCCGGCGACCACCGCCGUCCGCCCGCGCCGCCAGUAAGCCAACUCCUCCUCAUCUCCUCCGUCGUCUCUUCCUCCCUCUCUGUUUUCGUCCUUCCUCUCAGCCCUUCGUUUUUGCGCAGCAACACCGCAAGCCACGCCCUGUCACCGCCAGCAACCGCUCCAGCCUCAGCCGCCGGCCGCCGCCACUACAAGCCGGACCACCGCCGUCGCCGCUCACGUUCUCCGCGAGUCUCACCACCACCCAGCAUCACGACGACAGCCGUCGCACUGCCGCCCAGUCAAUCCGCUCCGUCGCGCUGCCCUACCCGCCGGCCAGCACCUCCCCUCUCCUCCUUUUGGCGGAGAAUUCUUUGUAGGCGAUUUUUGAAUUCGUUAAAGUGGCCUAUCGGUUUGUUUACACAAGUCUCUAAGGAUCAAUAAGCAUUGUCCAUCUGCAGGUUUGAAGAUGUUGCAUCAUUGGGAUCGGGAAUAGAGAGCUUGUAUUUAGUUUUGAUUUGCUAAGUUAACUUGGGUUUGUUAAUUGGGACUUUAAACUUGUCGUACUAUUUAUAUUUCCUUAUUUUCGUUGGAUGAUUCUUGGGGACUAAAUCUGUAAUAGAUUAUUUAUAAACCUAAAGUUAGUUUUAUGUUUUCCGCUGCAAAA